UUUCCGUAGGUGAACCUGCGGAAGGAUCAUUAUUGAAUGAAACACUUCUGGCUUUAUGCUGUUGUGCUGGCCCGUUGGGCAAUGUGCACACGGCUCUGGUCACUUGUUUCUUCUGUUCCUCCUGUGCACUGCCUGUAGACACGCUGUGUCUAUGAUAUUUGUUAACACACAACAAUGUUAGUUGGCAUGUUAUAUAUAAUAAUAAAAUAUACAACUUUCAACAACGGAUCUCUUGGCUCUC
rnacentral:misc_RNA from 1 species